AUUGAACGCUGGCGGCAUGCUUUACACAUGCAAGUCGAACGGUAACAGGCCGCAAGGUGCUGACGAGUGGCGAACGGGUGAGUAAUGCAUCGGAACGUGCCCAGUCGUGGGGGAUAACGCAGCGAAAGCUGCGCUAAUACCGCAUACGAUCUAUGGAUGAAAGCGGGGGACCGUAAGGCCUCGCGCGAUUGGAGCGGCCGAUGUCAGAUUAGGUAGUUGGUGGGGUAAAGGCCUACCAAGCCAACGAUCUGUAGCUGGUCUGAGAGGACGACCAGCCACACGGGGACUGAGACACGGCCCAGACUCCUACGGGAGGCAGCAGGGGGGAAUUUUGGACAAUGGGCGCAAGCCUGAUCCAGCAAUGCCGCGUGCAGGAAGAAGGCCUUCGGGUUGUAAACUGCUUUUGUACGGAACGAAACGGUCCGGGUUAAUACCCUGGGCUAAUGACGGUACUGUAAGAAUAAGCACCGGCUAACUACGUGCCAGCCGCCGCAGUAACAC
rnacentral:rRNA from 1 species